UUGUGGAAUUGCAUUAUUAGUAAUCGAUUGGUUUAGUCUCGCGCCAGGUGUUCAUGAUGGGCAAGGGCGAGAACAACGGUCGUGAAGGAAAAUCGCCUCAGAGUUUACGGUUUUAAUAAUAUCGCUUUUCACGGGACAAAAGCAUUUUGUCACAACUUCUACAAUCAACGAUGGGGGUGCAACAGAAGCUCUGCAUGAGAUCUAAAGAGGUAAAGCUUCAAAUUCAAGUCAGUGGUCUGCGAAUAAAGCCAUCCUUAGAUUUUCAGAGUGUGAUUCACAGCUCCGAAGACCACAGAAACAAGUAAGAGCAAAGUUUAGUUUUUAUGGACAUUAAAUUGCGAGAAAAAACAUUAUUUUACCAGGCCCCGUUGAAGUUAAAGCAGUCACAUAAAUGCAUCAGGUCAAAGGUUCAAUGUCCUCAAGUCUUUUGUGGCCAAUCAGCACUUCUACCCCAGUGUGUUGUUUUUCUGAUGAAAUUUAUCACCUGAGACUCUAUUAACACUUGCCACAAGCUUUGUCAUCUGUAAUGAUGUCUCAUUAAACCAGCUGUUGAAGCCUAAUAAUAAAAGGUGUGAGGUAAACAGAGGUAAA